GACGAACGCUGGCGGCGUGCUUAAAACAUGCAAGUCGAACGAGAGCUUCGGCUCUAGUGGCAAACGGCUGAGUAACGCGUGGGUGACCUACCUGGAAGUGGGGAAUAACUGCCCGAAAGGGUGGCUAAUACCGCAUGUGAUGGCGAGUAUAGAGCUCGUCAUGAAAGUCUUCGGACGCUUCGAGAGGGGCCCGCGUUCGAUUAGGUAGUUGGUGGGGUAAUGGCCUACCAAGCCUGCGAUCGGUAGCUGGUCUGAGAGGAUGAUCAGCCACACUGGGACUGAGACACGGCCCAGACUCCUUCGGGAGGCAGCAGUGGGGAAUAUUGGACAAUGGGCGCAAGCCUGAUCCAGCAAUGCCGCGUGUGUGAAGAAGGUCUUCGGAUCGUAAAGCACUUUCGACGGGGACGAUGAUGACGGUACCCGUAGAAGAAGCCCCGGCUAACUUCGUGCCAGCAGCCGCGGUAAAAC
rnacentral:rRNA from 1 species